GAUGAACGCUAGCGGAAGGCAUAAUACAUGCAAGUCGAACGGAUGUAGCAAUACAUUAGUGGCGCACGGGUGCGUAACGCGUAUGCAACCUACCUUCAUCAGGGGGAUAACUACCCGAAAGGGUGGCUAACACCGCAUAAUACUAUUGAGUGGCAUCACUUGAUAUUUAAAUCUGAGGAGGAUGAAGAUGGGCAUGCGUCUGAUUAGCUAGUUGGUGUGGUAACGGCGCACCAAGGCGACGAUCAGUAGGGGAACUGAGAGGUUGGUCCCCCACACUGGCACUGAGAUACGGGCCAGACUCCUACGGGAGGCAGCAGUAGGGAAUAUUGGUCAAUGGUGGGAACACUGAACCAGCCAUUCCGAGUGCAGGAAGAAGGGUCUCUGACUUGUAAACUGCUUUAGCAUGGGAAGAAAAAGCUCAUGCGUGAGAAAUUGACGGUACCUUGAGAAUAAGCACCGGCUAACUACGUGCCAGCCGCCGCAGUAAUAC
rnacentral:rRNA from 1 species